rnacentral:rRNA from 1 species
GGCGAACGCUGGCGGCGUGCUUAAUACAUGCAAGUCGAGCGAGGCCCAUCCAGUGGCAACACUGGGGAAGGCCGAGCGGCGAACGGGUGAGUAACACGUGAGCAACCUGCCCCGAAGUCUGGAAUAACAUCGGGAAACCGGUGCUAAUACCGGAUUGCCCCACCUGACCGCAUGAUCGGGUGAGGAAAGAUUUAUCGCUUCGGGAGGGGCUCGCGGCCUAUCAGCUAGUUGGCGGGGUAACGGCCCACCAAGGCGUCGACGGGUAGCUGGUCUGAGAGGACGACCAGCCACACUGGGACUGAGACACGGCCCAGACUCCUACGGGAGGCAGCAGUAGGAAUCUUGCGCAAUGGGCGAAAGCCUGACGCAGCAACGCCGCGUGGGGAUGACGGCCU